AGUGCCACGUUGUUUGUGUUCCCCAUUUGUUCCUUAACUAUCUUUCUGUUUAAUUCUUAGAGAAAACGUGACAGUGGAACUAAGAAGUAGUUGAAAUCUUUCCUGAUCAGCUCAAAGAAACAAAGAAAGUGAGAAAUAAAUAGAAAACAUUUUACAAAUGUUUGUUAUCCAGCUAGUGUGGGGCCAGGUUGGGCACAGAGAAAGUGUAGUAAGCAUACGAAACGAUUUGUGGUUCUAAAGAGAAGAAGCUGCAUUAUUUAAUACUUGGACAGACCUUGAAUCCUUUGAUUCAGUUAAUCUGGUUGCUGAAGCAAAAAUGUUCAGGUGAAGGUUUUCCCCAUUCUAUACUUGCAAGCAGACCAUGGGGAAUCUUUGCAAUCUCUGUUUUGUAUGCCUCUGACUGUUUGGAGCAACAUUAACUGUGUCUGAUUAGUAUGUACACAUCCAUCACAAAAUGAACCGUCAAGGAAUUUGGGAAAUGUAGAAAGGUUCUCUCAACAAGAUUGAGCAGCGUUAAUAAAGAAAAGUUGCCGAAACCAUUUUAUUUCCCGCCUUUCCAGAAAAUAUUAUGGCGGACGUUUUGGCAACAGCCAAUAGAAUUCGAGAGGACAACAAGCUGGGACGUGUUCUGCAGUGAUUUCGUAGCUUGGUUUUAUCCCAUGACAUCAAUGAAGCCGGUCAUUAGAAAGAGAAAAGAAAUCAGUUGUUACUUAGGUGAACUAGAACUUCAUUGUAACAAGUAUUAUUGUACAAAUAACAAAAACAAAUAACAAGUAAGUAUUGUAACUUGUUCAUUGUAACAACUUAGCUGAAAUCUUGGUUGAAAAAAAAAAUACUAGAAUGGAUUAUAAACCCAUUGGUGAGAAAGGUCACAAAACUGAAACAUCUUAUGAAAAUUCUGCCUGUAAAAGAAUAACCAGUGAAUGAUUCAUAACAUCAUUAUCUGUACAAAUUACUCCUUCGACAAUUAAGUGUCACUCCCAAGAUCGAAUAGUUAUAAAAGUGCGGUAAUGUUUUCAACUUAAUUACUAAGACAUUUAUAGCCCCAUUAUCAGAAGAAGUAAAUUGGGAUAUGAAAGAUCCUUUUCUUGGCAGAACUAACAAUGGGACUGGACAAAACACAGUUGAACAAAGGGGCAUCUAUCAGACAAUAUGUGAAUGAUUGUGGUAAUUUAAAAAUUAUAAAAUUUUUAAAACCAGAAGUCUGAGAAGGCAUUGUAAGAGAUCGAUCAGUGAAUGGGUUUUGUGUUGGAUUCAUAAAAUAUUUCGGAUGGUGAGCACAUUUUGUAUUGGAGAAGUCCAGUGAUUUGGGACUGGCAAUACUUCCAGCAGUAAAGUUUAAUGCAUUAAACCUCUAGUGCGAAAGUACCAAAAAGUCAGAACUAAUUGAAACAUGAAAUCUCAGAGCUCGCUGGGCAUUAGGUCAAAUACCAUAUUCCUUGCAGUUAAAACAUCGGAAUGAAUUGGAUCCAGCGUUUGAAUGGGGAAUUUAUUAUGCACCACUGAAGUUACUUAAUUGUGCAAUAGUUGAAGAUAAAGUUUUUCUGACCUUGGCACAUAGCAACAUUGAAGCACAAUGUUCAAUUAGGAUUUAUGCAAAAAUUGGAGGAGAUUGGUGUGGGAGACCAACAAAAGCCAAUUACGGCAUCAAGCUGCUCAUCGCGUUUAUGGUUGGAACGACUGGGUGUUUGGAUGGGCUCGUCUUCCUCCUAGUACGAGCACCACAUUUGUUCCCUACCACCCCACGGCGUGCACCGCUCCACAUACUGCUCAAAGGUACCAGACUUUUACACAAAGAAAUACACGAGCUUUACAUGAUUCUAAUCUUUGGGAGUACCACACGGCCACAUGCGUAUCCCAAAUGUUACACUAGGAGGCGCCUGAAUGCUAGAUCACGUAUGCAACUCCAGCUACUACGCUGAAGGCCCAAAACACUAGGUUGCAAGCUACUCUGGAAGCUUCCGUUUGCCACGCUCACAUGUAUGGCUCUCGAAGCAAAGUACUAAGAUUCGAGGGUUCAGAUUACUACACUGCCGCUACCCAAUCUUACUGUGCCAAAUCGAACUACAUUUCCGGCUCACUACACUGGAGCUCCGAAAUAACAUUUGGCGCAGGUAUGGAAGCAAAGUACUACACAAAUGCUGCCGAGUACUACGGUUGCGCUUUGUCCUACACGGCAGUUUCGGAAUACAUCUCUUUGAAGGUGAUAUACCAUACCACAAACCGAGGUAC